GCCGCACCCUCGCCCGCUGCCGACCCAGGGGCUCCUGCCCCCGCGGGGGAGGCUCGGCGCCGGGCGAGCGGAGGCGGGGGACGGUGUGGGCGCGAGGCCGGGCGCGCGUGGGGGCUUGCGAGCGGGGGAGUGGGUGCCGUGACUGAAAGCGCUGGGCGGGCGCGCGCACGUGAGGGGGCGGGUCUGUGCCUGUGCCGGGGCGGGGGGCCCCGUGUGUGCGAUCUGCGCCCGGGGCGGGGUGCAGGGCUGUGCUUGGAACGGACGGCUUCCGGGGCCGGGCCCCACCUGGCGGGGCGCCGGCAGUCGUCGGGCUGCCUGUGCGGUGGCCGAGGCAGAGUGCCGGGGCUGUCUCACCCCAAAGGUGGAGGGUGGGUGCCGGGAGGGCGCUAGACGCCGCAGGGCCCCGCGGCUGAGUUCCGGGCAGCGGCUGCUUCCCGGAAGCCCCGGCCACCCGGCAGCCUAGGAGCAGAAUGGAGAUUCCGAUUCAGGCUCUCACCUUUAAGUCCCUGAUCCUCAUUUUGACGUAUGUGGCCCAGCUGCAGUCUGACUCUCGCAGAACGCUGUCGGGACAAGGGCUUUGCGGCCGGAGAUCAAGAAAUCUGGCUUCCAGACCCUGCCAGCCAGCCGCUGAGAAACCUGGGCGCGUUCGCCCCGUGCUGUCUUGGCCUCAGGGUCCUGGCUGGUGAGUCGGGGGCCGGCCGGGUGGUCUCCAGGGGCCAGCAGCGCCGCAGCUCCCCCGCUCCCCAGCCGGGCAGGCGCUGGAGGCCCCCUGCCUUCUCCAGGCUCCCGUGCAGAGCCCUGCCCUCCAGCCCCCCUGCCAUCUGCCAGCACAGUGCUGGGCUCCGACGGGGAGGCCGCCAGGGGGACGCAACAAGGAAGGGGUUCCCGAGAGACAGGUGGGGGCCACGGUCCAGUCUCGGGAGCUGGCUUCCCCCAGUCGGCAUCCACAUGGUGUUGGUGAGGCCCGGUGCGGGGGUGGACAGUCCCAGCCCUCGGAGCUCUCCCAAAGCUUCGCCAGCCUCACCUCAGCCGGGGCAGUCGGGGCGGCCUCGGGGGCGGGGCUCCCGGCCGAGUGAGCCCUGCCAGGCCUCAGGGUUCAGCCCCAAUCUCAGACACACGUCUUCAGGGCCCCGAAUUUGUGAGGAACCCCUUGGGAGUCAUGCGGGGAGGCCGUUAGCUGAGUGGGUUGCCAGCCUCUCACCCUCAACCCCUUCCUUCUAUCCUGAGUCGCUCUAACCUGUCUGUCUUGCACCUUGGAUGUUCUUUUACUGUUCCCUUUCAGGAAGGGAUUUGUCAGCGAAAACAAAAUUUUAAAUUCCGAACCCCUCUACCAACCCAACUAUGAAGUGGGCUAAUAGAAGCACUUGGGACCGUUUUGAGGAUGAGAUGAAUCAAUACAUGGAAAACACUUCGCAUUUAAAGACACGUGAGAUAUCAGUGCUACCACAGUGGGGAAAGCAAAGCUUCCAGAGGGGAGGGGCCGGCUGGCAACUCCACAGGGAGAUGGCGGCCGAGCCCGGGCCCCUGGACCCUGUAGGGACAGGCAGGAGCCCUGUGCCAGAUGACCUCAGGGCCUUUGCUGCCAGCGUUGCGGCAGAGAGGGGAGUUUGGAGGGUGUUUUCUCCUCUGCAGCUGCUCAGGACAGGCGUCUGGUUCUCCUCAUCCAGGAGGGGGAUCGUGCCGUGGCCCCUCACCAUCUGGUGUGUCCUUGCUGCCCCCUCCUGAGAGAGGCCGGAGCCCGCUUCCGGGUGUGAGGUGGAGUCACAGGGAAAGGGCCGCUGUCUGCCGCCCCCUUGGCCAGCUUUCCUGGGCCCCCAGGCCUGGACCCUCGGUUCUGUAUGUGGACCCCUCUCCUUUGCUGUUUUCCCUAAUGUGGUCAGCCUCUCGGGGACCUGCUCUUGUCCUUUUUUUUUUUUGGCCGUGCCACGAGGCGUGCUGGAUCCUAGUUCCCUGACCAGGGAUCGAACCCAGGCCCCCUGCAGUGGAAGCACGGAGUCCUAACCACUGGACCGCCAGGGAAUUCUCUGCCCUUGUCUUCAUGUUGACCGUUAAAGCUAACAGAUUGUUUGCUCUGUGCCAGGUGCUGACGACCCAGCCACCCGUGAGGUUGGCACACACCCCAGAGCGUAAAGGCUUUCAUUUACAGAGCGCGUGUGUGUGUGUCCAUGCCCGGGUCCCCCGGCGCAGGCCUGCCAUGCUGAGUCAGCGUGGGGGCCCGAGAUGUGUCCGCAUCCCACCACCUCCCCCCUGCUCAGCAUCCUCAGCUGCCCUGGGAGGCCGCCCCGAGCCUGCUCUGGCCCCCUUGUGGUCCCCUGCCAGCCUCCCGCCCUUCCCCGGAGCGUGCCGUGCUGCUCUCUCAGUCCUCAGGGCUGGCCCGCUGCCCCAGCGCCCUCCCUCCUGGCCCCCCAAGACCCAGGGCUUCAGGCCCGGGACAAGCUUCUCAACCCCUGCUGGACUGAGACCCUCCGCUGACCUCCCUUCACACCGGGGCCUUGGUUCCUGGGGGACUCCGUUCACUGGAUUGAGUCUGUGUGCCCAUCUUUCUGCUCCUGAGAUUGGAGUUUGGACCCCUGGCCAGCACUUAGGUCAUAGCGAGUGCUUACGGAGUGCUGGUGAGUGACUGAGUGAGCUCAUUUGCGCCUGCUCAGGACGGGGUUUCUCCGGCCGGGGAUCAGCUCUGAGCACGCGGGGCCGGGAGCCAGGCCCAGUCCCCAGGCCAGCAUCGCGGGCCCUGUGCCAUCCCCUGCCGGGCCAGGGCCAGCUGACUUCAGAGAACUCACGUAUUCGCUCUCAGUUUCCAGUUGUGGCCGGCACAGCUUGCUGCAAACGUCGCAGCUUACAACAGUGCCUGUGAGUCGGGAGUCUGGGCGUUGGGCGCUCAGCGGCUUCCCUGCUUUGAGUCUCACAGGCCGGAAUCGAGGGCUGCGGUCCCUUCUGGAGGCUCUGGUGGGAAUCGGCCUCCAGGUUCAUUUAGCUUCUCUGAGUUCAUUUCCCUGGAAUUGUGGGACUGAGGUUCCCAUUCCCUUGCCAGCCGUCAGCUGAGGAUGGCUCUCAGCCUCCCACAUUCCUGGUCGGUGACCCCUUCACAGCCACCGACGUUGGGUUGAGUCUUCCCACUGUUGAAUCUCUCCGGCUCAGCCUCCUGCGGCCUCUCUGCUGCCUGCCUUUUCUGUUUUUAAGGACUCGUGUGAUUGCGUUGGGCCCAGCUAGAUGGUCAGUCCCCCUGCCCCGACCCUGAGCAGCUGGGACUAGGGCAGGAGUCUGGGUGGGACCACGGUCCCCUGGCCCCAGGAAGCAGGAUCCCCCCGCUGAAUGUCCUCCAAGUAGGUGGCUGGGGCAGCGGGGUGACCUGGACAGAGAGCCCAGGGACAUCUUCCCUUUCAGGCCCGUUUGGAUUUGCUUACAUUGGCUUCUUCACAAGGAGGCCGCAGCCCACCUGGCCCUUCGUGUCACCCUCGGCGCCUCAGUGCCCCUUGUCCCCCAUCCCCCAAGCUAGCGUGCAAAUCCUGGCGCUGAUGUCCCCAAGCUCCGUGACCUUGGCAAGCAGCCCAGCCUCCGGCCCCCAUCUGUGACAUGGAGAUAACCUCACAAAAUUGUGAGCGUAAACCAAACAAUGUGCUCACUGAUCCUGCCCCGUGGGCGGCUGUCGUUUCUGUCUUGGCCGUAAAGGAGGCGUCCCUGCUUCGGGAAGCCUGUCCUCCCUGCCGUGCAGUCAGUCCCGGGGCUCACAGCACUCUCCUUGCUCGCCCAGCUGUCCCUGGCCGCAUCUCCCAAGGGCAGGGCCCCGUCUUUCAUGUCCGUAUCUGCAGUUUCUAGCACAGGCCUGUACACAGUAAACGUGUCCAGGAAAGCACAGGCGGGCAGGAAGGACGCAGCUGACGCGGCAUCUUUUCCACGUGCUGAGCGGCGGGCCAGAACAGCUUGUGAGCCCAGAGGUGCUGGCUUUGCAGGGAGGAGUCUGGGCUCCCACGAGGACGCCCUGGAGCAGCCCAGCCCCUCGUACCUGCGCCGGGCUCAGUAUUUCAAAGCUCUGUGUCAUCUGAAGCUCAUGUGGUGGCAGAGGUGCGACUCUCAUUUCACAGGUGGGGAAACUAGACGCGACCACAGUCUUCUGCUGAACUUGCGGCUGCAGACUUUCUUCUGAGCCCUGCUGUUGGCCCGGCUGGUAGCUCGGCCUGUGCGGUAGCUCAGUCCGGUGAGAAUGGCCCCGCUGAAGACCCAGACUCUGGUUGGGACCCCUGGAGACUUAGGCUCACGUUUUAGCAGCUUUUCCUCAACUAGUGUAUUCAUUUAAGAAAUACGUAUCGAGCAUCUGCCCCGUGCCCUGGGCCCCGUCCUGACAUGGGAUACAGCAUUGCUCAGCUCCGACCGCUUCUCCCAUGCAGGUCCCUUCCCAGUUCAGGAGUCACCUCCUCCAAGAAGCCCUCCCUGACCAGCCCCUCCUUAACGUACAUCACCCUGUUCUGUUUCUCCUGUUUCCUAUAUGGUCACUAAAUACAUGCUCACUUUAGGAACAUCCGGAAAAUGAAGAGUUGUUUAGAGAGAGAAAAAACUCUGGUCUUACUUCACUAUCUACAGAAAAUCCAUGUUAACAUUUUAGUGUAGUUCUUUCCAGGUGGUCACCUCUGCAAAGACAUGUCAUUAUCCACAUGCCAUUUUAUUCUGCUUUUUGGUUUAACACGAAUUCUGUGACUCACUUAUUUGCACGUCUCUGGAUCAUGCACUGAACAAUUGAUGGUGUCUUACAGGCGCUGUCAGCCUGUGUUGAAACCCAGCUCUUCCAAAGGGGUCCUGUUUGCUUCUGACGGUCACCUGGGGGCACUGCCAACUCCAGAAGACUUUGCAUUAAAUUUCAAAUAAAUUCGGUUACAACAUUUGCUCGAGGUGUUUUCAGACCACGUCUGUAGCGCAAACUCAGACUCCAGCCUGCGUGAGUCCUGGCUUGUUCUUGGUGUGUUCCCUCCCCACACCCGGGGCCGAGGUCGACACGCCAUUUCCGUCUGACAGGGCUGUUUAUCAUUCCCCUUCCGUGCAGGGAAUAGCCCCUUGGAGUCCCAGCUUUACUUACAUGCCUCGUACUAGCUACCCCAUCCUGGGAAUUCUUUUUCCUUCGUGGUGCAUGAGACAGCGAUGUGUCUUAUAAUCAACGGUGUCUUCAGUGUGAUGAAAUGCCGUAAAGAGAAACGUGUCUCAGAGUCCCGUAAACACGUCUUUAUGAGCGUCUAUUUAACGGCUGCACAUUACCUCCCAGGGUUGCCUGCCGUCCUCGCUGUGUCUUGGCGUAAUUUCUGUUCUUUUCUGUGGUCUUUCUUACUCCACACAGCUUCCUCUGCACUCAGAUGAUUUCUUUCGGGUAAUUCCUGGAAAUCGAAUUGCCAGACUGAAGAAAUGAAUAUUCCAAAGACCCUUAACACAUAAAGUCUAGUGUUUUUGGAGGCUGAUGUUUUUUUCUUUCUUCUGAGUCAUCUUUGCAGAAACAGAGUUGGUGCGAAUCUGCCUAUACUGGCAGCAGCUGGCCGAGUGCUUUCGGGCUGGGAAACUCCACAAAGGUGAAGAAUUAACGUUAACGAGUUUGCACGUGUUGUCUGAGCCUUCUCCAGUCUCAUGUACGCUAUUAAUUUACUUGGCCAAAGAGUCCUCUGUGGUGCUGAGAUAACCCUCACUCCUGCUCUCACCUGGAUUUGUCGACCAAAGCCAAGCGCCCGCCCUGCCCUUCAAGGCCUGGUGGACCAGCCUCCGCCUGUCUCUCUGGCCUCAUCUGACCGCUUGGCCCGCGGCUGCCUCUGGGGCGUCGUGGGCUUGAGUGCCUGCGCAGAUGCCUGCCCGGGGGACGUGGCACUGAGCCUGGCCCCGCACACGAGCUUCAGGCCGUCCGCGCGUCCCCCCGCUGUGGUCGCCUCUGUGACUGGUACGUGCCAGGCCCGUGGCCUUGGCCCCAAGGACUGCUGACUCCGUCAUACAGGCAGAGGGCACGGACACAGCACACUGAGCCACCCAGAGAGCCGUCCAGAGGCCCCCGGGCUGAAAGGGACUAAAAGUCAGCUGAAAACGAGAGGAGAAGAAGCGCUGGGAGUACGCCGUAGGGUGAAGAUUGGGAGAUGGGGGCAGGAGGCUGGAACAGAGCCUGGAACUAGACCGAUGCUGAGACGCCCCUGCGGCGGUGAUCCCCAAACUUCCCAGCACCAGGGACCGGUUUCGUGGAAGACAGUUUUUCCACGGUGAGGCGGUGCACGGGUGGUUCAGGCAGUGAUGCGAGCCAUGGGGAGCGAUGGGGAGCGGCAAGUGAAGCUUCGCCCGCCCGCCCGCCCGCCGCUCACCGCCUGCUGUGCCGCCCGGCUGCUAACAGGCCAUGGACCGGUACCGGUCCGCGGCCCGGAGGUCGGGGACCCACCUCGCCGGGGUAUUUCAGGUGAGUCACGGAAGGGACCGCCUGGAUUCAAAUCCCAGCUCUGUCAUUUAACCAGAUGACCCAGCGCCUGUGAGGCUCGGUUUUCUCUGUGAGGUGGGGAUGGUAAUGUUGGCCUCAUGGGAUGGAGGUGGGAUGACCGAGGUGUAGGGCUGGCACUGCCGGUCAAUGACCAGUAUCUGUACACACUCCCCUACUUCCUCUCUCACUUAAAGGAGAACUUCAGUUCUGUUAGUUAAAUAACUAACCCAGAUGACUGGCAACUAAGUCACUUCUCCACCCUGGGCCCAGGUCUGCUUUACCAGUUAAGGGGCCAGGGCAGGACAGAAGUCUUCAAAUUCAGGUCCCAACGCAGCACUGCUGGCUAAAGAGGCAGUUACCUGGACCUCAACCCAGACUCCCCAGAUCAGAGUCCUUGGGGGUAGCACCUGGAAUCCAAACUUUGUUAAAGCUCCCCAGAUGAUUCCAGCGUGCAGCAGGCUCUCAGAACCCUCAGCCCAGUGGCCCCUGAAACGCCGUCUUAGCCCUGAGGGCCUGUGUUUCUCUUCCCACCAAAUGCCCCGUGCCGCCUCUGUGGGGGUCUGGCGUCCGUGCAUCUGGUCCAGAGUUCACCUCCUGCUUUCAUCAGAGAUGGGACACUUCCCCUGCUGCUGACUCAGGUGAUGAGACCCCGAGGUGGGACCACUGAGUCUAGGACUAAAUCUGUAGCCCCGCCCAGUGCCCGGCCCUGGAGGUGGUUCGAGGAGAGGAAAGAGCCAACCUCUGAGCCCGGGGCUGCCUUCUCACCACGAAAUAUCUGAAUCUAAACGGAAAAUAUACAUCUUUAAGGCUGGAGAUGCAUUACAGAAUCAGAACCGAGUCCAAGCAAUCCCUUCCUUCUCGUGUAGCAAAGAAAAUGAAAUUCUGCAGAGUUCCUGCUGGUCUUAGAUUUUUCUCUUUUAAGAACAUAAAAAUUACUUACCGUCGCUGAGGUUCGUUCCAAGUUGCCCCUAACAGCUGUAAACUUCCCGGCUUUAUCUAGGGAGCCCUCAGGGCGGUGAAUUACUGUUCACGUAAUGAAUUCCUAUUGCAAAUCCAGCAUUAGCAGAUUUCCCCCAUGAAGACAGAUAAUUUCUUGAACUCCAAGUGCUUUUAUGGAGCAGGGGGUUGAGGGAAAGAGGUUUUACUUUACAGUCUCUAAGUGGAUGAUUUAAAAAAGCUCAGUAAAAUGGUUUUACUGGCCAUCAGGGCCACCACAACAGAUGUAUCCGCAAAGGAAACGCCAUCAAUUACACGGUUGGGGUGCUGGGGUGUGUGGGGAGCGGAGGUACGAAGAACACCUAGGGUGUCUUUUUUAAUUAACAAAAAAUAUGAACGCAUUUGGAAGUAAAUAGAAGGCCCAGUUUUCCCCUUUUGGGCUGAGAGGGUCUUCGGGGGCGAGAGGCAGGAAAACAGUUUUCACCGUUGAAUAUGAUAACGAUGACCAUGGCAGUGACAGAGUAAGAAGAACUGAGGUUUAUUCGCAUGGGGAGUGGGGGUGCCCACAUUCCGGGCGGACACUGACCGAGUGUCUGACCGAGGCCCCGGCCGGGCUGUGCACCCGGGGUCCCUGCCCUUCGCUGCCCUGUCUGCACAGUAGCGCAGGGGGAAGACGGAGCGCCGUCCACGCUAGUGCUAAGUCGGACACACAGCCAGGAAAAGCCCAGAGGGUUUCUGCCAAACAGCUGAUGAGAAGUUGGUUGGUUGUUUGUUUUUCUUUCCUGCCAUUUUAUUACAGUGAAGUUUAACAGCAGAGAAAAGUCACAUGACCUUGGUGGAUCGAGAAGUUGGCUUUAAAGAAUCAUUUCCUAAAUAAUCAGUUUCUCACCAUUAAAAAAAAGUAUGUUUUGACCUCGGGCGAAUACAGAGGGCUGUGGAUGAGAACCUCUUUUCUGACAUAAUAAUACAGGCAGUGCCGGGGGGUGGGAUUUUGGAAAGAUGCUGGGAGGGGUCCUUGCCCCUCCCCCAGGGCCCCGGGUACUGGGAGGUCACGGCUGCCAGGAGCAGCGAGUUGGGUGAGGUUAGUGGCCGGGCAGGCACGGAGAGCUGGUUUUUCUCCUUUUCUUGUGAGCUUGGUCGGAACGUGAAAUUCCCGUGUCUGUCCUGGAUAGCGCAGAUCCAAGCAGCAGACUCUGCCGGCUUCCCGUGAGCGAGGUUCCCCAUCUUCCAGUGGAGAAGUCUGGAUGGAAUAACCCCUUCGUUUCCACCUGAACACGGGGACCAGAGGAGGUGGGGCGGGGAGAACAGGGCCUCAGAGCCGGGCUGGGCCGGCCUCUCAGCACACGGAGCAGGCCUUGGCAUCAAGCUGCGUCUCCUCCUCCCGGAAAGCAAACACCCUCAGCAGGGCUGGCGAAGGGCACGGUCUGGGGCCCUGCUUCUUCCAGCUCCUUGGCCUGCCGUUGUGUGGUCCAUGCGCUUGUCCCGCCCCGCCCCGUCUGCUGGCCCGGCUGCUUCCCGGCCUAGUGCCCUUGGGGCAGCUUCUCUCUGGGAGGUAGCGCUGUGAGCCUAAGGCUGGGUUUUCUGUGGGGCGGCCCUGGUCCGCAUCCCACGUUUGCUGCUCACUGGCUGCAAGACCUCAGGCACACAGCUCGGUCAUCGCACCUCUGUUCUCUUUACUGUUAGAUGGGGCGAUGCUAGGACCCAGGAGGGCAGCUGUGGGACUGGCGGAGGGCAGGCUUGCGAAGCGCUGGGCCAGUCCUGGCGUGUGGGAAGCCAUGCCAAGGACUGUCGGCCGCCCUUCUGUUUAGAAAGCAGUCGUGCCGUCUUCAGCCUCCAUCCACGGAUUCCCUUGGACAGAGUCCGGGGCGCGCUGGCUGCCGGCUGCAAUGCUUCCACUCCAGUCUGAUCCCUUUCUCUCUUGGAUUAGAAAGAGGUCUUGUAGAAGCUGUGUGCUGACCUCUGUCAAGGUCAGCAUUUUGUAUGCAGCUUUGGAGAAGGGAGUGGGAUUUUAUUGCCUCUUUGGUGGGAAAAAUUACGUAUUGUUUGGGUCCGUGCUAAACCCUGACGCCGUUGUGCGAUGGGGACACUUCUGCAGCGGUGGAUCCACCAGGGGGGCGGUGUGGGUGUGUGUGCAUGCUCACGCGCGGGGUUAUCUUUUGUCCUCAGAGCCAGGACCCUGUCUCUAGGUGGCAUUGGAGAGGGUGGGGGGUCGGGGUGCCCAUGUCCCCACCCCUAAGGCUGGAUUCAAGCUUUUGUUUUUUUUAAUUUAUUUUAUUGAAGUGUAGUUGAUUUACAGUGUCGUGUUAAUUUCUGCUACACAGCAAAGUGAUUCAGUUACACAUAUAUAUACAUUCUUUUUCAUGUUCUUUUCCAUGAUGGUUUAUCACAGAAUAUUGAAUAAAGGUCCCUGUGCUCUA